GCUCCUCUCUAUGGUCCCUGUGCAUCUUCUCUAUGGCCUUUCUCUGGGGACUCUAUGGUUUCUAUUGGGUCCUCCAUGUGGCUCCUCUCUCUGACGUUUCUCUGGGGACUCUAUGGUUUCUAUGGGAUUCUUUCUAUGGCUUCUAUGGGUCCUCCCUAUGGGUCCUUUCUGGCCUUUCUCUGCGGACUCUAUGGUUUUCAUGGAGGUCCUCCUUGUGGAUCCUCUCUAUGAUCCUCUGUGGUCCCUGUGGGUUCUCUCUAUGGCAUCUCUCUGGGGACUCUAUGGUUUCUGUGUGGUUCUCUCUCUGGUUUUCUCUGUGGUUUCUAUUGAGUCCUCCCUCUGGGUUCUCUCUGGUCUUUCUCUGGGGACUCUAUGGUUUUCAUGGGGGUCCUCCCAGUGGCUCCUCUCUCUGAUCCCCGUGGGUUCUCUCUAUCACAUUUCUCUGGGGACUCUAUGGUUUCUAUGGGGUUCUCUCUAUGGCUUCUAUGGGUCCUCCCUAUGGGUCCUCUCUGGCCUCUCUCUGCAGACUCUAUGGUUUUUCUGGGGGGUCCUCCCUGUGGCUCCUCUCUAUGGUCCCUGUGGUCCUCCCUGUGGCCUUUCUAUGGGGACUCUAUGGUUUUCUGGGGGUCCUCCCUAUGUGUCCUCUCUGUCCUCUCUCUGCAGACUCUAUGGUUUUUCUGGGGGUCUUCCCUAUGGGUCCUCUCUGUCUUCUCUCUGCAGUCUCUAUGGUUUUUCUGGGGGUCCUCCCUGCGACUCCUCUCUAUGCUCCUCAAUGAUUUCUAUGGGGUUUUCCAAUGCCUCCUCUCUAUGGUCCUCCCGCGCCGUCUCUAUGGUUUCCCGGUGGUGGGAAGGGGGGGGGGUCUCUAUGGUAUCUUUAAGCCCCGCCCCCCUCGCCGACGCCCCCCACCCACUUCCUCCCCUUUGCCGUAAGCCCCGCCCCUUCCGGUGGCGCAGAG
rnacentral:lncRNA from 1 species